rnacentral:rRNA from 1 species
CCUGAUGCAGCAACGCCGCGUGAGGGAUGACGGCCUUCGGGUUGUAAACCUCUUUUAGCAGGGAAGAAGCGAGAGUGACGGUACCUGCAGAAAAAGCACCGGCUAACUACGUGCCAGCAGCCGCGGUAAUACGUAGGGUGCAAGCGUUAUCCGGAAUUAUUGGGCGUAAAGAGCUCGUAGGCGGUCUGUCGCGUCUGCUGUGAAAUCCCGAGGCUCAACCUCGGGCUUGCAGUGGGUACGGGCAGACUAGAGUGCGGUAGGGGAGAUUGGAAUUCCUGGUGUAGCGGUGGAAUGCGCAGAUAUCAGGAGGAACACCGAUGGCGAAGGCAGAUCUCUGGGCCGUAACUGACGCUGAGGAGCGAAAGGGUGGGGAGCAAACAGGCUUAGAUACCCUGGUAGUCCACCCCGUAAACGUUGGGAACUAGUUGUGGGGUCCUUUCCACGGAUUCCGUGACGCAGCUAACGCAUUAAGUUCCCCGCCUGGGGAGUACGGCCGCAAGGCUAAAACUCAAAGGAAUUGACGGGGACCCGCACAAGCGGCGGAGCAUGCGGAUUAAUUCGAUGCAACGCGAAGAACCUUACCAAGGCGUGACAUACACGAGAACGGGCCAGAAAUGGUCAACUCUUUGGACACUCGUGAACAGGUGGUGCAUGGUUGUCGUCAGCUCGUGUCGUGAGAUGUUGGGUUAAGUCCCGCAACGAGCGCAACCCUCGUUCUAUGUUGCCAGCACGUAAUGGUGGGAACUCAUGGGAUACUGCCGGGGUCAACUCGGAGGA